UACGUAGGGUGCGAGCGUUGUCCGGAAUUAUUGGGCGUAAAGAGCUUGUAGGCGGUUUGUCGCGUCUGCUGUGAAAAUCCGGGGCUCAACCCCGGACUUGCAGUGGGUACGGGCAGACUAGAGUGCGGUAGGGGAGACUGGAAUUCCUGGUGUAGCGGUGGAAUGCGCAGAUAUCAGGAGGAACACCGAUGGCGAAGGCAGAUCUCUGGGCCGUAACUGACGCUGAGGAGCGAAAGCGGGUGGGAGCAACAGG
rnacentral:rRNA from 1 species